rnacentral:miRNA from 1 species
GGAGGAUCACUUGAGCCCAGGAGGUCAUGGCUGCAGUGAGCUAUGAUCAUACCACUGCACUCCAGCCUGAGCGACAGAGCAAGACCCUAUCUC